rnacentral:rRNA from 1 species
UAGGGAAUCUUUGGCAAUGGACGAAAGUCUGACCGAGCAACGCCGCGCGAGUGAAGAAGGUUUUCGGAUCGUAAAACUCUGUUGUUAGAGAAGAACAAGGACGUUAGUAACUGAACGUCCCCUGACGGUAUCUAACCAGAAAGCCACGGCUAACUACGUGCCAGCAGCCGCGGUAAUACGUAGGUGGCAAGCGUUGUCCGGAUUUAUUGGGCGUAAAGCGAGCGCAGGCGGUUUCUUAAGUCUGAUGUGAAAGCCCCCGGCUCAACCGGGGAGGGUCAUUGGAAACUGGGAGACUUGAGUGCAGAAGAGGAGAGUGGAAUUCCAUGUGUAGCGGUGAAAUGCGUAGAUAUAUGGAGGAACACCAGUGGCGAAGGCGGCUCUCUGGUCUGUAACUGACGCUGAGGCUCGAAAGCGUGGGGAGCAAACAGG